rnacentral:misc_RNA from 1 species
GUGAAGAACGUAGUGAAAUGCGAUAAGUAAUGUGAAUUGCAGAAUUCAGUGAAUCAUCGAAUCUUUGAACGCACAUUGCGCCCCCUGGUAUUCCGGGGGGCAUGCCUGUCCGAGCGUCAUUACAACCCUCAAGCUCAGCUUGGUAUUGGGCCCCGCCGCUUCGGCGGGCCCUAAAGUCAGUGGCGGUGCCGUCCGGCUCCGAGCGUAGUAAUUCUUCUCGCUCUGGAGGCCCGGUCGUGUGCUUGCCAGCAACCCCCAAUUUUUUUCAGGUUGACCUCGGAUCAGGUAGGGAUACCCGCUGAACUUAAGCAUAUCAAUAAGCGGAGGA